GGAACACAUGCAAAGUUAAAGGCAUGGUGACCUGUACAGGACUGUGCUGUUUAGAAUAGAAGGAACAAAAUGGGAAAUUCCAGACUAUCAAAUUUGCUUGGCCAAAUGUUCAAAAGCAGCACAAACAGACCUUAACUGGCCCUGGGUAGGGGAAGGAGGAUCCCGAGGGAGCUCACAGUAUUGGGAGAGAGAUCUCUGAGGAGCGUACCAAUCCAUUACUGCUUUUCUUGGGGAUAGAUUCUACAUAUGAAAUUGCACCAUCUCUAGGCACAGCACUAAAACCCC